CGGUAAUACGGAGGGUGCAAGCGUUAAUCGGAAUUACUGGGCGUAAAGCGUGCGUAGGUGGUUUGUUAAGUUAGAUGUGAAAGCCCUGGGCUCAACCUAGGAACUGCAUUUAAAACUGGCGAACUAGAGUAUAGGAGAGGAAAGUGGAAUUUCAGGUGUAGCGGUGAAAUGCGUAGAUAUCUGAAGGAACAUCAAUGGCGAAGGCAGCUUUCUGGACUAAUACUGACACUGAGGUACGAAAGCGUGGGUAGCAAACAGGAUUAGAUACCCUGGUAGUCCACGCCGUAAACGAUGACAACUAGCCGUUGGGAGGAUUUACCUCUUAGUGGCGAAGCUAACGCGUUAAGUUGUCCGCCUGGGGAGUACGGCCGCAAGGCUAAAACUCAAAGGAAUUGACGGGGACCCGCACAAGCGGUGGAGCAUGUGGUUUAAUUCGAUGCAACGCGAAGAACCUUACCUGGUCUUGACAUACACGGAACUUUCCAGAGAUGGAUUGGUGCCUUCGGGAACCGUGAUACAGGUGCUGCAUGGCUGUCGUCAGCUCGUGUCGUGAGAUGUUGGGUUAAGUCCCGUAACGAGCGCAACCCUUAUCCUUAUUUGCCAGCACAUCAUGGUGGGAACUAUAAGGAGACUGCCGGUGAUAAACCGGAGGAAGGCGGGGACGACGUCAAGUCAUCAUGGCCCUUACGACCAGGGCUACACACGUGCUACAAUGGGAAGGACAAAGGGUCGCAACCUCGCGAGAGCAAGCUAAUCUCAUAAACCUUUUCGUAGUCCGGUCGGAGUCUGCAACUCGACUCCGUGAAGUCGGAAUCGCUAGUAAUCGUGGAUCAGAAUGCCACGGUGAAUACGUUCCCGGG
rnacentral:rRNA from 1 species